AGAAAUCACCAACACUAAAGAUGGGUGCCCUGUGUUAUUGCUCCCUUCAGUAGCUGUAGCUGCCUAACCUAGGUGAUGCGACUGCUUAUCUCCAUCCAUCACACAGGGAGCCUCUGGUACACAACAGCUGCCUGGUGUUGGAUGUGCAUAUGGCUGUAAUCCUGCUGAUGGCUGAAAGAGAGGCAGAAAGCCAAUGUGUGAAUUCAUGUCCAAAGAGAAGGAACUCCUGUGUAACUGAAAAGGUGAGUGUCACCAGAACUAACAAAGAGAACAUCUCAACUUCUUGCAGCAAGUUAAUUCCCUGGAAGCCUAGUAAAACAACCACCUGAUAGCACAGUGUGACAGUUGGAGGCUGGUACCCAUUUUGGUACUGAUGCCAGGGCAGGGAAGCUGCAACAAGAAGCUGGAUGGAUGCACAGCCUCACCAGGAACAGACAUUUCCACAGGGGACAUCUGAUAGCGCUGCUCGAUAAUGCAGCACUCCUGUAACAAAAGGCAGGCACAGUACUCGUGAAAGGCCACUCCCUACCCAUUAUCCUUAAAGAGUAUGUUUUAAAACAAAAACUAAAAAACUAAAAUACGACAUCUGAACUUAGUCAUCAUCAGAGGCAGUGUUCAGGUCCUCUGCUGUUUAAAGGGUAUUUCAUCUGUCGAUGGGAGAAGAGGGGCAAAAGAAAG